rnacentral:rRNA from 1 species
AUGGAGACGGGGAACGGGCCCGCCCUCCAGCCUCUGCUGUGCCUCGCCUGGCUCGCCGCCACGCUCCCCAUCCUCGCCGCCGCGCUCCCCAUCCCCGCGGCCGCCGGCGGCCGCUUUCUACACAGCCUCCUCGCGGCCUUCUCCUCCCGCGGCAAGACCGUCAGGCCGUCCUCCUCCUCCUCCUCUUCCUCCAAGGCGAAGUUCACAGUUCCACAGAAGUACUUCUUGCAUUUCUAUGUGGUGGGAGUGGCGGUGACAACAAGCUUGCUGCUUGCAAUAUGCUUCUAUGCAUAUAUGAAAAUGACACCGCUGUUGCCAGAGCCAUCGAGUUACUCCACAAUCGCUAGCCAUCUUAUUGGGUCAAAUUCGUUCUCUUUUGGGAGUGUCCUGUCGCGCACCAUGGAACACAAGUAUCGUGUCUGGCGGACUGUCUUUGUACUUCUAUUGAUGGAAAUUCAGGUGCUGAGACGCCUGUAUGAGACUGAAAAUGUGUUUCACUACAGCCCAUCAGCUCGGAUGCACAUUGUAGGAUAUCUGACGGGUCUAUUCUAUUACACGGCUGCACCAUUAUCUCUCGCUAGCUCUUGUCUUCCUGAAGCAAUAGAUUUUAUCCGAGGUCAAAUAGUUGAGUUCAUAGUAAAAGGUCGUGCAAGAAUGCCAGACCUAGUCAUUGAUUCACCCUCUCUCCUAAAGCCUCUUUUAAAGUUGGGGUGGUGCCAGUGGAUAGGUGCUAUUAUAUUCCUUUGGGGAUCCCUCCAUCAGAUCCGUUGUCAUGCAAUUCUUGGAUCGUUGCGCGAAAAUAAAGAUUCUGAUGAAUAUGUUAUUCCUUGCGGUGACUGGUUUAGUCGUGUGUCUUGCCCUCAUUACCUUGCUGAACUAGUUAUAUAUUUGGGCAUGUUGAUGGCUAGUGGCGGAUCAGACAUUUCAGUGUGGUUCCUGUUCAUUUUUGUGAUAACAAACUUGUCAUUUGCAGCAGUACAAACUCAUAGGUGGUACCUCCAAAAGUUUGAAGACUACCCCCGCUCUCGCUAUGCUAUCAUUCCAUUUGUAUUGUAA